rnacentral:rRNA from 1 species
AUGGGCACGCCGUGCACAGAUGAUGACCGGGUGUUUUUUGCGGCUGCCACGCGAGUCACGGUGGGCAACGGACGAACAGAAAUUUUUUGGAACUCCUCUUGGCUACAGGGCUUGAGACCUCGUGACAUCACGCCCCGCAUCUUUGACCUCUCUCGAAAGAAAAAUUGUUCCGUCCAGCAAGCUCUACACAACAAUCUGUGGAUCUCUAACAUCGACAUUUUCAAUGGCCUUUCUCUUGGUCACGUCCAAGAGUUUGCAAAUCUUUGGGGAAAGCUGAAUUCUGCCACCCUUGAAGAGGGGAUGGAGGAUUCAAUUGUAUGGAAGUUCACUAAAGAUGGUAUGUACUCUGCCUCUUCAGCAUACAAGGCGCAGUUUGAAGGGCUUACUACUUCAUAUCUGGUGCAAUCGGUCUGGAAGGUGUGGGCUCCCCCGCGAUACAAUUUUUUUGCUUGGCUUGUU